rnacentral:rRNA from 1 species
GACGAACGCUGGCGGCGUGCUUAACACAUGCAAGUCGAGCGGUAAGGCCUUUCGUGGUACACGAGCGGCGAACGGGUGAGUAACACGUGGGUGAUCUGCCCUGAACUUCGGGCUAAGCGUGGGCAACUGGGUCUAAUACCGGAUAUGACCUACUAUCGCAUGGUGGGUGGGGGAAAGAUUUAUCGGUGCAGGAUGGGCCCGCGGCCUAUCAGCUUGUCGGCGGGGUAUUGGCCUACCAAGGCGACGACGGGUAGCCGACCUGAGAGGGUGACCGGCCACGCUGGGACUGAAACACGGCCCAGACUCCUACGGUAGGCAGCAGUGGGGAAGAGUGCACUAUGGGCGAAAGCCUAAUGCAGCGACGCCGCGUGAGGGAUGACGGCCUUCGGGUUGUAUUCCUCAUUCAGCAGGGACGAAGCGCAAGUGACGGUACCUGCAGAAGAAGCACCGGCUAACUACGUG